rnacentral:rRNA from 1 species
UACGGAAGGGGCAAGCGUUGUUCAGAAUCAUUGGGCGUAAAGAGCGCGUAGGUGGUUCUGUAUGUCUACCGUGAAAGCGUACGGCUCAACCGUAUUUUGUCGGUGGAAACUGCAGGACUUGAGGCUGGGAGGGGCUGGUGGAAUUCCCUGUGUAGCGGUGAAAUGCGUAGAGAUGGGGGAGAACACUCGUGGCGAAGGCGGCCAGCUAGACCAGUUCUGACACUGAGGCGCGACAGCGUGGGGAGCAAACAGG